UUCCGACACCUCCCUUGCGCUCCAGGGACAGACUGGUGUUACCUGGUCCCGGGCAGCGGAGUUCUUUACCCACCCCAGUUCUGGUUCUGACGCCCUAGUUCAUCCCGCAAAUUUAGGACUUGGGUCUCGGCUUGUUCCCCUCCCGCUAGAAGCACCCCUUCUCUGAGCCAAGACAGCUACCUGGGCUCCUGGAAUUGCCACCCCUCCGUGGGCACCCUUGAGGCCUCCGUGGGGGGACGUCACCGGGCAGAGCGGGACGUGAGCCUGCGUUUGCUGCAGGCGUGCUCUGUGUGGUGACUGGGUGAGUUGUGAGUAUGUGUGUGGCGGAGGCGGUGCCUUCUUCACUUGCAUCCUCCUCCUCUGUCAGAAGGCGUCUCAGGCUACCCAGUUCUGGAAUGGUCGCAGGCAGCUGGUCCCUGGACGGGAAGAAUCCUAAGAAUCCUUCUGAUGCACUUAUUCGGAUGCAGACCGCGAGGUUCCUGGGGUCGUCUGCCCCUCCACAUCCCAGGGGUGGGGCUACAGUCUGGGGUGCAGCGAGAGGGGUUGGGAGUGUAAGGAGACCAGGGACACAGUGGAGCUAGGGGUUACAGAGGAAGAGCAGGGAGAGGGCUGGGGACAUAGAAGGGGCACAGGCACGACAGGAACAGGGCUGUGAAGUGAUGCGAAUGUCGCGCUGCUACAAGAGGAGCUUGUGGAUACUAGGGUAGUAGCCCAGGGGGGCAAGCAGCCAGAGGCCAUUGCCAAGGCAGCCAUCAAGUAAACAAGCCAGGUGGUAACCCGAGUCCCUCCCGGCGCGCCAGCAGAGGACCGCCCCUCCACACUGUCCACCUGCACCCUGGGCUUUCUCUCUGGGCACCUAGACCUCUUGCUGCAGGGCUGGGGGUCUGCUGAGGCCCGCCAGGGGGCUGUAAACAAAGGGAGCAGCGCCCUCAGCUCCAGCCCCUCCUCCCUCUGGCUGGGGAGGGGGCCAGAACUGAUCCCCGAGGUGGGAUUGGCUCUGGGAAGCAGCUUAGGGCCUGGUCCCGGUGGCCCAGGCCGGGGUGGGGGGGAUCGCCUCGAAUGACACCCACCUCCCCCAGUUUCUGCCAAUCCCCGUGCCCACUGGGUGGGCGCGGCCGGGAAGUUCCUGCCCCUCCCUGCUGGUCGGCGUCACGCGUGACGUCCCGCGUGAUGGCUGGGAGGGCCCGGCGGCGACAGCGGAGGCAGAGAGGAAGGCGGUUCUGAGAGCUUCAGGGAGCCCUGGAAAGCAAAAUGGGUGAAUUGCCUUUAGACAUCAACAUCCAGGAACCUCGCUGGGACCAAAGUACUUUCCUGGGCAGAGCCCGGCACUUUUUCACUGUUACUGAUCCUCGAAAUCUGCUGCUGUCCGCAGCACAGCUGGAAACUUCUCGGAACAUCGUGCAGAACUACAGGGCUGGCGUUGUGACCCCAGGGAUCACCGAGGACCAGCUGUGGAGAGCCAAGUAUGUGUAUGACUCUGCCUUCCAUCCGGACACAGGGGAGAAGGUGGUCCUGAUUGGCCGCAUGUCAGCCCAGGUGCCCAUGAACAUGACCAUCACCGGCUGCAUGCUCACCUUCUACAGGAAGACCCCAACUGUGGUGUUCUGGCAGUGGGUGAAUCAGUCCUUCAAUGCCAUUGUUAACUACUCCAACCGCAGUGGUGACACUCCCAUCACCGUGAGGCAGCUGGGGACAGCCUAUGUGAGUGCCACCACUGGAGCUGUGGCCACGGCCCUGGGACUCAAAUCCCUCACCAAGCACCUGCCCCCCUUGGUCGGCAGAUUUGUGCCCUUUGCAGCGGUGGCAGCUGCCAACUGCAUCAACAUCCCCCUGAUGAGGCAGAGAGAGCUGCAGGUGGGCAUCCCGGUGGCUGACGAGGCAGGUCAGAGGCUUGGCUACUCGGUGACCGCAGCCAAGCAGGGAAUCUUCCAGGUGGUGAUUUCAAGAAUCUGCAUGGCGAUUCCUGCCAUGGCCAUCCCCCCACUGAUCAUGGACACUCUGGAGAAGAAAGACUUCCUGAAGGUAGGCAACUGUACCUCUCCUGUCCUGGAAUGGGGGAUGGCUGGGAGAAGAAGUGACCAGGCCCCAACCCUCUCUCCAGCCUGGUCUGAGUCUCUAAGACUUGCCAGCCGUUCUCCUGACCCCUGCACCACCUCCUCCACCUUCAUUCAUUCAGCAAGAAUGAACUGGGCUGGGGUGAAGGAACACUGCGGGGGCAGGAGGAGAGGACGAGGGAAGGAAACCAACUUCAUCAGUGUUACUCCAGGGGCUUCUGAUACACAAAGGAGGGGACUGUCAUAGUCACACUUGAUCUUAUGCUCAUUCUUUCACUCCCUAGUGCCUCCAUACUAAGAGGUACACAUGGGUGCACACACACACACACACACACACACAGAGACAUGAACAGGACACGAAAGCAAAGCACAGGAACAAGCUCUGGCUCAUUCACAGAAUAAUUUAUUCACAAAUGUAUUGAGUGCCAUGCACCAGGGAUGUUUUAGGGCUGAGGAGACAGCACUGAACAAGACGGUUAUGGCCCCUGUCCUCCUGAAGUUGAUAGUCUGAUGCAGAAACCAAUAAACAAGGAGGCACCCAAUAAAUACAUUCUUAGAAAGUGUAAUAUGUAUGUGCUUUGUAGGAAAGCAGUGGGACAGUGUAAUUGAGAUUCAUGGGGGAGAGCUGUUUAGACAGGAUGGUCAGAGAAGGGGUCUCUAAAGCCCCGAAGGAUGAGGAGAGAGGCAAAGAAUGCAGAGAAGAGUGUUUGGAGUAGAGAAAAUAGUCAGUAGCAAGGGCGCUGCAGCAGGAGGGGCUUGCACAUUUGAGGAACAGGUUGGUGGUCCCUAUGGCCAGAGCAAAUUGAGAAGAGUGCCGAGGAAGAGACAUGCUUGGAAAGGGUCAGAUUCAUGCCACUGGGAUGGGAAGAGGUAAGUGGAAGUUCAGAGGAAGUUUCCUGAAGAAAUCAGCUCCUGGAGGAAGUGAGGGAAGAAAUAAAAGGGCCGGGGAGUGCCAUGGCAACCAGUUCUGAGAGGUGAGAAUGUGUCAUGGGGUGCCAGGGAGGGUAAUCAGCAUAUAGGCCCGGCUGGAGUGGAAGGGUGCAAUCUAAAGGUCCCAGCCCUGUCAUUGCUUUGGGAGAAAGAAAAGGGUCACAGGUCUAAGGGCUCCAAGGCAAGGCUGAUGGGACAGAGCCAUGGUGGGUGAAAUGGGGUGACAGUGAGGCAGGGGACACAAGCCAUUCCAUUGUCUCUCUGUCUCUCCACAGCGCCGCCCUUGGCUGGGGGCGCCCCUGCAGGUGGGACUGGUGGGCUUCUGCCUGGUAUUUGCGACCCCCCUGUGCUGUGCCCUAUUCCCCCAGAAGAG